CAGUAGCGUAUAUUAAAGUUGUUGCAGUUAAAAUGCUCGUAGUUGAAGUUCGGAUGCAGCAGAGCUUGGAAACGCUGUUAUGGUGCUUCCGUUGCUUUUACUUGUCCACAGUGCGUUGCAAGUACGUAUGUGCUUGUGCGUGCAUUUUACUUUGAGAAACAUAGGGUGUUCCACGCAUGUUACGGCAUGAAUAUUCCAGCAUGGGAUAAUCUGGUACGACUUCCAAUCUGCCAUUUUGGUUCGUAGGUUGGAAGUAAUGAUUAAUAGGGACUGUCGGGGGCAUUGGUAUUAUUUGACUGUCAGAGGUGAAAUUCUUAGAUUCGUUGAGGACCAACCACUGCGAAAGCAUUUGUCAAGGAUGUCUNCAUUAA
rnacentral:rRNA from 1 species